GAAGUCUCAGACCAAAUACACAGUUCACAAGGGAAGGCAGCCGCGUGUCCUCAGUUCUUCCAUUCUUCGGUCGUCUUUGAGAUCAAGUAGAACGUACAAAAUGGGCAAACAUCCGAGGAGAGAAGUAGAAAUUCAAUCUAUGUCUUCACUGGCUUUUCCUCGCACAUCACU